rnacentral:lncRNA from 1 species
GAUUUGGGGUUUAAAGGGUUGGAAGGGCCAAUAAGGGGUUUUCCCCUUUUUCGGCCAUUGCAGAUGGCUGUACCGGCGUCGGAGAUCGGCGGCCGAUGACCGGACCCCUGGCUGGACGAAUGGGGGAGGAGAGUUUUUGGGAAAAGUUUUUUGUUUUUUUUAAAAGGGGCUUAAAAUGAUUUUUUUUGGUGAGUUGGGGGGUUU